rnacentral:rRNA from 1 species
AACGAACGUUGGCGGCGUGGAUUAGGCAUGCAAGUCGAGCGAAUCCCCGCAAGGGGGGAAGCGGCGAAAGGGGCAGUAAGGCAUGGGUAACCUACCCUGGGGACUGGGAUAGCCAUUCGAGAGAAGGGGUAAUACCGGGCGAUGUGCCGGGCCGGCAUCGGUCAGUCACCAAAUGAGUUUCGCCCUGGGAGGGGCCCAGGUGAUAUUAGCUAGUUGGUGAGGUAACGGCUCACCAAGGCGAAGAUGUCUAGCGGGUGUGAGCGCACGACCCGCGCCACUGGCACUGAGACACUGGCCAGACACCUACGGGUGGCUGCAGUCGAGGAUCUUCGGCAAUGGGCGCAAGCCUGACCGAGCGGCGCCGCGUGUGCGAUGAAGGCCUUCGGGUUGUAAAGCACUGUCGAGAGGGAGAAAAGCGAAAGCUUGAUCUAUCUCUGGAGGAAGCACGGGCUAAGUUCGUGCCAGCAGCCGCCGUAA